CGCCUGGGGAGUGCGGCCGCAAGGUUAAAACUCAAAUGAAUUGACGGGGGCCCGCACAAGCGGUGGAGCAUGUGGUUUAAUUCGACGCAACGCGAAGAACCUUACCUGGCCUUGACAUCCAGAGAACUUUCCAGAGAUGGAUUGGUGCCUUCGGGAACUCUGAGACAGGUGCUGCAUGGCCGUCGUCAGCUCGUGUCGUGAGAUGUUGGGUUAAGUCCCGUAACGAGCGCAACCCCUAUCCCUGGUUGCUAGCAGGUAAUGCUGAGAACUCCAGGGAGACUGCCGGUGACAAACCGGAGGAAGGUGGGGAUGACGUCAGGUCAUCAUGGCCCAUACGGCCAGGGCUACACACGUGCUACAAUGGCGCGUACAGAGGGCUGCCAACUCGCGAGAGUGAGCCAAUCCCUUAAAACGCGUCGUAGUCCGGAUCGGAGUCUGCAACUCGACUCCGUGAAGUCGGAAUCGCUAGUAAUCGCGAAUCAGAAUGUCGCGGUGAAUACGUUCCCGGGCCUUGUACACACCGCCCGUCACACCAUGGGAGUGGAUUGCACCAGAAGUAGUUAGUCUAACCUUCGGGAGGACGAUUACCACGGUGUGGUUCAUGACUGGGGUGAAGUCGUAACAAGGUAACCGUA
rnacentral:rRNA from 1 species